rnacentral:tRNA from 1 species
GCCACCGUAGCUCAACUGGAUAGAGCAACGUAAAUCGAAAAACGUGUCUAGUAUUAGACACAGACAGCAAUUUUUCAAGAUAGCAUGUUAAGCCGUAGGUUAUAGGUUCGACUCCUAUCGGUGGCG